AACGAACGCUGGCGGCAGGCCUAACACAUGCAAGUCGAGCGCCCCGCAAGGGGAGCGGCAGACGGGUGAGUAACGCGUGGGAAUCUACCUUUUGCUACGGAAUAACGCAGGGAAACUUGUGCUAAUACCGUAUGUGUCCUUCGGGAGAAAGAUUUAUCGGCAAGAGAUGAGCCCGCGUUGGAUUAGCUAGUUGGUGGGGUAAAGGCCUACCAAGGCGACGAUCCAUAGCUGGUCUGAGAGGAUGAUCAGCCACAUUGGGACUGAGACACGGCCCAAACUCCUACGGGAGGCAGCAGUGGGGAAUAUUGGACAAUGGGCGCAAGCCUGAUCCAGCCAUGCCGCGUGAGUGAUGAAGGCCCUAGGGUUGUAAAGCACUUUCACCGGAGAAGAUAAUGACGGUAUCCGGAGAAGAAGCCCCGGCUAACUUCGUGCCAGCAGCCGCGGUAA
rnacentral:rRNA from 2 species